AGCAUGUUAGCUUAAUUGGUUAAGCAUUGUGUUUCGGCCACAAGGAUUGCAAGUUCGACCCUUGCACAUGCUU
rnacentral:tRNA from 1 species